rnacentral:lncRNA from 1 species
CGUACUGCCGGCGCCCCGGUAGGUGCAGGGUCGGAGGUUAGGGGAGAGCUUCCUGGGGCAAGCUGUGCCCGCCCCACCCCCGACAGCCACCGUCCAGCAGCCGGAGUGAGCGCCCACCGUGUCUCAGCCCGGUGCCUGCCCUCACGGAGCUCCCCGUCUACCUGGGGAUGCUCCUUACACGCUAAGCACGAGCUCAGAGAGUGGCUUGGGGCUGCAAGAAAAUACGGCAUGGCAGUGUUGUGAUGGGGAAGGGAAGACAGACAGCCAGGCCGAGGAGGUGGCGACACGAGAGGGUUUAGAAGAGAGACUCCCGCAGCCUCUGCCAGCGUCCCACGCCCAGCCGGCUACGGGGCCGGCAGGGUUAAGCCGCGGGCCGGCAGGGAAGUAGUCCCGGCCGGACGCCCAGCCCCGCCCCGCCGGCGGAGGGACGCAUCACGCAGGGGUGGGGAAGUCGGAUCCGUGCGCAGGGUUGCUAAGGGUGAAACUUUUCAUUGACUUUGCUCACUUCUGGCCGGGGCGCGGGAGGGUGCGGGUCGUGCGCAGAGAAAAGCUAGUGGCUCGGGCGACGCGGGGCCAGGAGGGCCAGGUCGUCCGCCAACUACAGCAGUCCGUCCUCCGCCCCGCGACGSGAGCCACCCUCUGGGCSGCCAUCCUAGUGUUGUYGCCGCGGGCCGGCCUGCCCGCGGUCCGUCCGCCCCUGCCGSCGAGUCCGACCUCCAAAAAAGCUGAAAGAAUUAUAUUAGGAGUUAUAGCCCGUAACCUCCUCCUUGCUCCCAGCCCUCAACGACGAAAAGGACACAUCGGCCCCCGGCCUCGCAGCGCCGGAGAAAGCAGGGAAAGCGACCUCUGCCCCGGGCCCAGGACCACCCUGGCAGGAGAAGACACCUGGCGACCGGCAGCCCAUCCCGCCGCCGCGGAGACCCGAAACCAUCUGGAGCCCAAGUCUGCCCAUCUUACAUCUGCAACCACUUCCCUUGGCCUGUGCACGUGCCCUGCACUGAU